rnacentral:rRNA from 1 species
UACGUAGGGUGCGAGCGUUGUCCGGAAUUAUUGGGCGUAAAGAGCUCGUAGGCGGUGUGUCACGUCGGCCGUGAAAACCUGCAGCUUAACUGUGGGCGUGCGGUCGAUACGGGCAUCACUGGAGUUCGGCAGGGGAGACUGGAAUUCCUGGUGUAGCGGUGAAAUGCGCAGAUAUCAGGAGGAACACCGGUGGCGAAGGCGGCUCACUGGACCGGUUCUGACGCUGAUGCGCGAAAGCGUGGGGAGCAAACGGGG